GACGUAGGGGGCCAGCGUUGCUCGGAAUUACUGGGCGUAAAGGGUUCGUAGGCGGUGCGGCAAGUCGGAAGUGAAAUCUCCAGGCUCAACUUGGAGGCUGCUCCCGAAACUGCCGCGCUAGAGUGCGGGAGAGGCCAGUGGAAUUGCAGGUGUAGCGGUGAAAUGCAUAGAUAUGUCACAGAACACCAAUUGCGAAGGCAGCUUACUAUGGUUUGAUUGACACUGAGGCACGAAAGCGUGGGGAUCAAACAGG
rnacentral:rRNA from 1 species